rnacentral:tRNA from 1 species
CGAGGUGUUUACACGUUAAAAUGCAAGUUUAAAGUAGGGCCUAAAAGGGCCCCGGGGCUUCUCCC